UAGCCAUCGCCAUUAUUUAGGGACACCUUGUAUUUGUAAUAGAAAUCUGGAAUAUUAAUAUAUUCCAGAUUUCUAUUACAAAUACAAAUACAAGGUGUCCCAAAAUAAUGGCGAUGGCUAUGACUAAUU